AUUGAUUGCCCAUUCAAAUUCAAACUUUAUUUUGAAUUUUAAUGGCCAACCAAUCAUCCUUAUCCAUUCAUUUGGCACAUUAAAGUAGGGCGUGGAGAGGGCUUGGUGUGAGAAAAAAAUUCAUGAGAAGUUCCUUCCCAUGAAUUCAAAUGGGUGCAAUGGAAGUGAGGUGGCGCAUGGAGAUUGGGUCAAGGUGGUUUAAUUAUUUAAACCAACCUAAUUGAACCAAAUAAGUUAGGUCC
rnacentral:lncRNA from 1 species